AAAGUGGCGCGGGGGGACGCGGCGGCGUUGAGAAGGUUAAAACCUGACCCUUUGAACCUGUCAGUUGAUACUGUCGUAGGAAGCGAACACAGGCGAACA
rnacentral:ncRNA from 1 species